rnacentral:rRNA from 1 species
CCUGGCGGCUGUAGCGCGGUGGUCCCACCUGACCCCAUGCCGAACUCAGAAGGGAAACGCCGUAGCGCCGAUGGUAGUGUGGGGUCUCCCCAUGCGAGAGUAGGGAACUGCCAGGC